ensembl:lncRNA
GCGGUUUCCACUGCAGAUGUGUAGUAACAUAUCGGAAUCGUUGGACGCUGCGGAUCCUCGUCAAGGAAACAACGACUGUGGGUGUGACCGUUUGCUCAGCUGGUCCUCUUCUCCUCUCCCAGGGCCGUCAAUGUCAAAGCAUGAGUCCCCUCCCCUCUGCAUGACUGGCCCUCACUGACAAGUGGAAAUCACAGAGAUCCUGCUGGCAAAAGAUGGAGAGUGGAGAAGACUUCAGAGACGUGUACCCUACAGCUAUCAGUGUCCUGAACUCCAGAAUGAAGACACCAGGCACAUCUUCUCUGCUACAUGCUGCAACAACCGAGAUCAUGCUCACCAAAAAAUUUAAAGGAGGGGGGGGGGUCACUUUUUUUUUUAACUUUCGAACAUAAAUAAAGGAUAGAAAAUAUGGGAGAGAGGGAGGUUUACUUUGCCAAAAGGGACCUUGGGUUUUGCCCUGUGGGCAUGGCAGCUUUCAUUUUCCUCUUUCCUCCUUUCAUAUUCCCAGUCGGUUUCCGGAGUUAUGAUUGAGUUUCACAUAUUGGAGUUAUAUCUGGCAGCCAGACUUGUUUAUCUGCUGGGGCUGAUAACUGCACCGGCCUGAGUAUGAAGCAGAAAGCAAGGGGAGGGAGUGAGAGAGUGGGAGGGAGAUACAGACAGAAAGACCACUCAUAUAUUCUCACCUCCUCUAGUCUUUUCUCAUUGAUUUAGCGUGUCUUCAUCAACAGUCUGACCCAGGUGCAGCUUUUUUUCUUUAUCGCACUCUCCAGCUUAGACCUCUGGCGCGGACUCGGCGGGAGCACCCGUCUAGCGCGCGUCAGUCAAAGCAGCUGGAAGUGGAGUAAACAGGACCCGGGACAUAAUUUAUCAGGACAUGGACACAAUAUUAAAAAUGUUGCAUGGAUUUGUUAUCAAAAAUCUGUUGUUGUGGAGAUUGAAAAAGUUAGACUUAAUAAUAUACUGUCUCUCAGGUAUCCAGUUAUUGCUAAUGUGAUUUAAACAGAUAUUACUCAAGUCGAGGGGCCAGAGGGAAGAAUUUAGGCUAUUAACACUAUAGCGAAGUUAUGGAUGACAGAGGGCAACGCACAAUUUUGCUCAGUUAUAAUCUCACUAAAACUUCAGUGUCACAACACCUUGGAGACAGAGCCUGUCAAGGACUGGCUGUGGACUCCAGUGGAAAGGAAAAUGAGACAAAGAGAUUUCGGGAGAGGUCGAGAAAGGGGGAGACAGAGCAAAGAGAGGACUGAGGGAAAGCGAAAGAGAGAGAGAGCAAGCAGUGCUUGCUGGACCCUGACUGCGUGCGAGGCCUCAAUUAUUCAUGCGGCAGUGCACAUGUCAAGAGCCCACAGACAAGCACAACAGCAAGGCCGAGCGCAAAUCAAACAGCGCAUCCGUGGGCAAUGCCCACAAUGCACCUGGAGGAACACACCUCGGUGCAUUUCUCUGUUGUUCUUGGAUAAACAGAGAACAAGGCUACCUGAGCACUGCCUGAUUCUCCUCAAGAGCCAAGAGCUCCUGGAAUAGUCUUUCUUUGUUUUUUUGUUUUUUUUUAUAUUUACUUGCGUCUUUUUUGGCAGAGGUGUUGGUGCCAGUGGGUUCCUUCUUUUCAUGGCUCAUUAGCACCGUUUCGUUCACUUUAUUUCUCUGAACUAGCUAUUAUGUCCUCUGUGUUGCCUCUCUUUGCUGGUCCCCAACAUGUCUACAUUAACUACUGCCGAGGUUUGUCUCCUCAAUUGCUGGAGGUUAGCGGAUGGCUGCAAACUUCCAUUCUCAUCUUGUCUAUCGACCAGCACCUUGCUGUUUUUUCCUAUUUUUGCUCUCUUUAUACUCCCGAGCCUGUUCCCGACACAUUUCUUUCUCAAUAUUACAAAAAAAGACAUGCAGCACAUAAAUUGCAGCUAAUCCUUAGCUAGUCCAAACCUUACUGCUUCAUUCAAGAGCAGUAGACUGCAUGUUGAUGACAAUGUGUAAAAAGAGUGUAAUUGUCGAACCGUCUUAAAAUAGCCUGAUCGGCAAACAAAAUUACUUACCUGUUAUUUUUGCAAAUUGAUUCACAACAAUCAGUAUAACUGCAUUGACGUCAGCCGAGCUUGUUUCCAGCUUUUAUCAUAGAAAUGAUGAUGAUGUUUCUGUGAGCCGUCCUAACAAGGCAGGAUCGGCUAAUUUUUCCAUGAAUAGAAAUCAUUUCAAUCACUGAAAAAAUAAACCGAUGGUUGUAAAGUUGUGGUUGUUAAGGUGCUAUCAUUUUCUUGAUAUUUGAAUUAUCACACUUUCGUUUGUUUAAUUUCAAUUUUGUGGCCAAUUUCAUAUUAGCUGUCUUCUGUUGUUGUCUACAAAUCAUUGCCAUUGCUCCCUUUCUCAGCCUGACACUUGAAAUAAGGUUUUUAAAUGGAAUAAGGCUUUCUAAAUUCAAAUAAGGGUAAAAUACUCAGUAAUUUAGAGAUCUGUGACCAAAUUUAAAAUACUUAAAAUAAUAUAUAUUUAGUUUUUUACCACUCUUUUAAUUUGAUGUGUACUCUUGUCAAUAAGGGUUCGCAGCAAACCUAAAGCUCUGAUCCACCACUACUUUUACCCAAGGAUCGUCCUUUGAGUGCCCUUUCUGAUUGGCUCCCUGCUGACAUUUUCCCACAUCCUCAGGAGAACUGUGGAGCCAGACAGCAGGCAAUGUGUUGUGUGUGCAAAGAGGGGCUCUUAUCAAUGAGAAGGUUUAUUUUCAGCCUUUUUUUCUCAUAACCAUUCUUUUGAGAAAUGUGUAGAUAUACAGUAUAUCAUAACAGAAAUAAACAUAAAUACAACAUGUACUGCAUUCAUUUCAGAGAAAAUAGUCGGCCUAUCUUUUGUCAAUUUUGAUUUUACUGGGAAUUUCUCGUCUGCUUGCCUUCUUUGUUUUCUUGGUCAUGCAACAUUCAUAUAUUUUCAUGGGUGAAAUGCCCUUUUGUUUUUAGAGUGUCAACGGCACCAAAAUGACACUUCAGAAGAGGACUGUGAGGAUGCAAACACUUACCACAGGUACCACCAGGGAUUUCUUCUCUUAUAUUAUACGUUUACCUGUAAAACAAGUGUCACAAGACAAUGCCUGCAAUAGGCUCCUGUGUUUGCAAUAAAGCCACAAAGGAGCCCUGUCA